rnacentral:rRNA from 1 species
UACAGAGGGUGCGAGCGUUACUCGGAAUUACUGGGCGUAAAGGGUGCGUAGGUGGCCUUUUAAGUCGUUUGUGAAAUACUCGGGCUUAACCUGGGUGCUGCGAACGAGACUGGAAGGCUAGAGUAGAGUAGAGGAGAGUGGAAUUUCCGGUGUAGCGGUGAAAUGCGUAGAUAUCGGAAGGAACACCGGUGGCGAAGGCGGCUCUCUGGACCGUAACUGACGCUGAGGCGCGAAAGCGUGGGGAGCAAACAGG